CCCUGUGGUUCAGUUGGUAGAGCAUGGUGUUUGCAAUGCCAGCAUUGUGGGUUCAAUUCCCACUGGGG
rfam:Salmo salar isolate Sally breed double haploid chromosome ssa04, whole genome shotgun sequence.